rnacentral:rRNA from 1 species
AGGUUGCUUCGGUAACUGACCUAGCGGCGGACGGGUGAGUAAUGCUUAGGAAUCUGCCUAUUAGUGGGGGACAACAUUCCGAAAGGAAUGCUAAUACCGCAUACGUCCUACGGGGGAAAGCAGGGGAUCUUCGGACCUUGCGCUAAUAGAUGAGCCUAAGUCGGAUUAGCUAGUUGGUGGGGUAAAGGCCUACCAAGGCGACGAUCUGUAGCGGGUCUGAGAGGAUGAUCCGCCACACUGGGACUGAGACACGGCCCAGACUCCUACGGGAGGCAGCAGUGGGGAAUAUUGGACAAUGGGGGGAACCCUGAUCCAGCCAUGCCGCGUGUGUGAAGAAGGCCUUUUGGUUGUAAAGCACUUUAAGCGAGGAGGAGGCUCCUUUAGUUAAUACCUAAAGAGAGUGGACGUUACUCGCAGAAUAAGCACCGGCUAACUCUGUGCCAGCAGCCGCGGUAAUACAGAGGGUGCGAGCGUUAAUCGGAUUUACUGGGCGUAAAGCGUGCGUAGGCGGCUUUUUAAGUCGGAUGUGAAAUCCCUGAGCUUAACUUAGGAAUUGCAUUCGAUACUGGAAAGCUAGAGUAUGGGAGAGGAUGGUAGAAUUCCAGGUGUAGCGGUGAAAUGCGUAGAGAUCUGGAGGAAUACCGAUGGCGAAGGCAGCCAUCUGGCCUAAUACUGACGCUGAGGUACGAAAGCAUGGGGAGCAAACAGGAUUAGAUACCCUGGUAGUCCAUGCCGUAAACGAUGUCUACUAGCCGUUGGGGCCUUUGAGGCUUUAGUGGCGCAGCU